UACGAAGGGGGCUAGCGUUGUUCGGAAUUACUGGCGUAAAGCGCACGUAGGCGGAUAUUUAAGUCAGGGGUGAAACUCCCGGGGCUCAACCCCGGAACUGCCUUUGAUACUGGGUAUCUCGAGUCCGAGAGAGGUGAGUGGAAUUCCGAGUGUAGAGGUGAAAUUCGUAGAUAUUCGGAGGAACACCAGUGGCGAAGGCGGCUCACUGGCUCGGUACUGACGCUGAGGUGCGAAAGCGUGGGGAGGCAAACAGG
rnacentral:rRNA from 1 species